rnacentral:rRNA from 1 species
GUAGGGUGCGAGCGUUAUCCGGAAUCAUUGGGCGUAAAGAGCUCGUAGGCGGUUCAGCAAGUCGGCUGUGAAAUUCCGAGGGCUCAACCUCGGAACUGCAGUCGAUACUGCUGUGACUCGAGUCCGGUAGAGGAGAAUGGAAUUCCCGGUGUAGCGGUGAAAUGCGCAGAUAUCGGGAGGAACACCAGUAGCGAAGGCGGUUCUCUGGGCCGGCACUGACGCUGAGGAGCGAAAGCGUGGGUAGCAAACAGGAUUAGAUACCCUGGUAGUCCACGCCGUAAACGUUGGAUACUAGGUGUGGCGUUCCGACCAACGGUCGCCGUGCCGAAGCUAACGCAUUAAGUAUCCCGCCUGGGGAGUACGGCCGCAAGGCUA